rnacentral:rRNA from 1 species
UAGGGAAUCUUCCGCAAUGGGCGAAAGCCUGACGGAGCAACGCCGCGUGAGUGAUGAAGGUCUUCGGAUCGUAAAACUCUGUUAUUAGGGAAGAACAAAUGUGUAAGUAACUAUGCACGUCUUGACGGUACCUAAUCAGAAAGCCACGGCUAACUACGUGCCAGCAGCCGCGGUAAUACGUAGGUGGCAAGCGUUAUCCGGAAUUAUUGGGCGUAAAGCGCGCGUAGGCGGUUUUUUAAGUCUGAUGUGAAAGCCCACGGCUCAACCGUGGAGGGUCAUUGGAAACUGGAAAACUUGAGUGCAGAAGAGGAAAGUGGAAUUCCAUGUGUAGCGGGUAAAUGCGCAGAGAUAUGGAGGAACACCAGUGGCGAAGGCGACUUUCUGGUCUGUAACUGACGCUGAUGUGCGAAAGCGUGGGGAUCAAACAGG